AGAUAACUCCUGAAAGCCUUAGACGAAACAGGCCUUCUGAUCCAAACAUAUCAGCUGACCCAAUAAGUGUACACCACAGAAUGGGCCUUAUGUCAAACUUGUCGGAGCCCACACGGAGGUUUAGAGACAAUAACCUCACAGUGUACUUCAGUUAAGUUCGGAUCCAUCUUCGGUUUUCAGAUUUAUCUGAAGCGGAAUCCAAAGUCCAAUGUAUUUGACACUAGCCCAGUUCUGGUAUUUUAAUUGGGAUAAUUAAGGGAUCCAAAACCAAAGCUAUACGACCCACUUCGGUUCGGUUUCGGGUUUUGGGUAUUAUGCCCGACCCUGGUCUAAGUCGUCUUUGGUAAUUGUGAAUGAAAUGUGAUGUGUGUGUGAGAUUCAUAAUGAACGUAUUCAUGAUUUUUGGUUUCGUUAUGUUAGGUAAGACAGAGAGAAAUUUAUAUUUACCAUGUAAAUUAUACUUUCCGUUUACCAUGUAGAAUCCUAGUGUGAAUGAAAUAUAUCGAUGAAUGAAAUAUAUCGAUUAG
rnacentral:lncRNA from 1 species